rnacentral:snRNA from 1 species
CAAGGUGAACAGCCUCUGG